CCCUAUUAUGUUAAUGUUGUAUUGAUGAAUAAGUUUAUGAAAAUUAAUAAUAUUGGCGGUUAAUUUAUAAUAUUAGAGGAGCUUGUUUUUGAAUAGAAUCUACUCUUUAUAUUUUAGGUUUACUUAUUUGUUUAUUCAUUUCUGUAAUUAAAUUAAUAAUUAUAAAAAAAUAAUUUUUUAUAUUUCAGGUCAAGAUGUAGCAUAUUAAUAUAAGAAAUUAGCUACAGUUAUCAAUUAAUGGAAUUUAAUUAUAUAUAUAUUAAUUUAAAUUGAAUUUAGUUGUAAUAGUAUCUAGAAUGUUAGUAUGAUUUUAGAUAAUUAAUGU
rnacentral:rRNA from 1 species